UACGUAGGGGUCGAGCGUUGUUCGGAUUUACUGGGCGUAAAGGGCGCGUAGGCGGCCAGCACAAGUCAGUUGUGAAAUCUCCGAGCUUAACUCGGAAAGGUCAACUGAUACUGUGCGGCUAGAGUGCGGAAGGGGCAACUGGAAUUCUUGGUGUAGCGGUGAAAUGCGUAGAUAUCAGGAGGAACACCGGUGGCGAAGGCGGGUCUCUGGGCCGUAACUGACGCUGAGGAGCGAAAGCGUGGGGAGCGAACAGG
rnacentral:rRNA from 1 species